rnacentral:misc_RNA from 1 species
CCACACAUUUUAGGGAGAGGGAGCUCUCACACAUUGCCCUCUAUUAUCUAUCUCUACAGUCCUUGGAUGAGUGUAGUGAGUGCUUUCUUUAAGCCCCACUGCGAAAGCAAAAACGCUCAAAGCUUUGAUCUUUUGAAGCCAGGAAAACUACAACUCUACUGUCUACGAAUUUGAAGAUGAAAACAAGCAGGACUGCUGGUGGAUUUAACAUGCUUGGCGUUGACUAAUGGGUUUUCCCAAUUUGAUCUAUUUAAAAAAUCUGCUUUCUUUAGAUGGCCUCAAAACCCAGUGCUGGGACUUCCCCAGAAAAGCAGAGAAAAGCCAUUGGUAAUCAGACACCAGAAGGAAAGUUCCGCAGGCCCUCACCUUUACAGAUUACAAAGACAAGCAAAUCAGAGCCAGUCACCCCAAGAAAACCACCUCAAAGUGCACAAGUUGCAUCUAAACACGUUUCUGUAGUGACAACUGAGGACAACAAAUCACUGAUUUCUCAAAAAUCAGACAAUGUAAAUUCUUUAGUCGAUAAGGUAUCUUCUAGUUUGGCCUUUGUUGAUCCAAAACAAGGGCUAACUUGUGCGGAUCCUGAAGGGAGUGAUGCUAGGGACUCACCAGAAAGUACUACUGAUAAAAAAAGUAAAAAUUUACAGAAUGAAAUUGGCGCUAGUUCUGCUGAGGUUAGUGAUGGGACCAGCAGCAUCGCAAAGACUAGUGGAAGUGCCAAAAUCAGCGAAAAAGCUGAUUUUGUUGAGAGUGGGAAAAGCAGUGCGAACAGAGGGAGCACAAGCAGUGAUGUCAGUGAUGAGAGUACUUGUAGCAGUUUAAGUAGCAGUGUCAACAAACCUCACAAAGCCAAUGAUAUGCGUUGGGAAGCUAUACAGGCUGUACGUGCAAAAGAUGGUGUAUUGGGUGUGAACCAUUUCAGAUUGCUGAA